rnacentral:rRNA from 1 species
AUUUGACAAUGGCGAAGCUGAUCCAGCCAUGCCGCGUGUGUGAGAGCUUUGGUGUAAGCACUUUAGCGAGAGAGCUUCUUGGUAUACCCAAAGUAAGUGGACGUACUCGCAGAUAAGCACGGCUAACUCUGUGCCAGCAGCCGCGGUAAUACAGAGGGUGCAAGCGUUAAUCGGAUUUACUGGGCGUAAAGCGUGCGUAGGCGGCUAAUUAAGUCAAAUGUGAAAUCCCCGAGCUUAACUUGGGAAUUGCAUUCGAUACUGGUUAGCUAGAGUAUGGGAGAGGAUGGUAGAAUUCCAGGUGUAGCGGUGAAAUGCGUAGAGAUCUGGAGGAAUACCGAUGGCGAAGGCAGCCAUCUGGCCUAAUACUGACGCUGAGGUACGAAAGCAUGGGGAGCAAACAGGAUUAGAUACCCUGGUAGUCCAUGCCGUAAACGAUGUCUACUAGCCGUUGGGGUCUUUGAGACCUUAGUGGCGCAGCUAACGCGAUAAGUAGACCGCCUGGGGAGUACGGUCGCAAGACUAAAACUCAAAUGAAUUGACGGGGGCCCGCACAAGCGGUGGAGCAUGUGGUUUAAUUCGAUGCAACGCGAAGAACCUUACCUGGCCUUGACAUACUAAGAACUUUCCAGAGAUGGAUUGGUGCCUUCGGGAACUUAGAUACAGGUGCUGCAUGGCUGUCGUCAGCUCGUGUCGUGAGAUGUUGGGUUAAGUCCCGCAACGAGCGCAACCCUUUUCCUUAUUUGCCAGCGAGUAAUGUCGGGAACUUUAAGGAUACUGCCAGUGACAAACUGGAGGAAGGCGGGGACGACGUCAAGUCAUCAUGGCCCUUACGGCCAGGGCUACACACGUGCUACAAUGGUCGGUACAAAGGGUUGCUACCUAGCGAUAGGAUGCUAAUCUCAAAAAGCCGAUCGUAGUCCGGAUUGGAGUCUGCAACUCGACUCCAUGAAGUCGGAAUCGCUAGUAAUCGCGGAUCAGAAUGCCGCGGUGAAUACGUUCCCGGGCCUUGUACACACCGCCCGUCACACCAUGGGAGUUUGUUGCACCAGAAGUAGCUAGCCUAACAGCAAUGAGGGCGGUACCAUCGGU